rnacentral:rRNA from 1 species
UGGGGAAUUUUGGACAAUGGGGGCAACCCUGAUCCAGCAAUGCCGCGUGUGUGAAGAAGGCCUUCGGGUUGUAAAGCACUUUUGUCCGGGAAGAAAUCGCACCUGAUAAUACCGGGUGUGGAUGACGGUACCGGAAGAAUAAGGACCGGCUAACUACGUGCCAGCAGCCGCGGUAAUACGUAGGGUCCAAGCGUUAAUCGGAAUUACUGGGCGUAAAGCGUGCGCAGGCGGUUGUGCAAGACCGAUGUGAAAUCCCCGGGCUUAACCUGGGAAUUGCAUUGGUGACUGCACGGCUAGAGUGUGUCAGAGGGGGGUAGAAUUCCACGUGUAGCAGUGAAAUGCGUAGAGAUGUGGAGGAAUACCGAUGGCGGAGGCAGCCCCCUGGGAUAACACUGACGCUCAUGCACGAAAGCGUGGGGAGCAAACAGG